rnacentral:rRNA from 1 species
GCUACCUCUUACCCAUGUCUUUUGAGUACCUUCGUUUCCUCGGCGGGUCCGCCCGCCGAUUGGACAACAUUCAAACCCUUUGCAGUUGCAAUCAGCGUCUGAAAAAACAUAAUAGUUACAACUUUCAACAACGGAUCUCUUGGUUCUGGCAUCGAUGAAGAACGCAGCGAAAUGCGAUAAGUAGUGUGAAUUGCAGAAUUCAGUGAAUCAUCGAAUCUUUGAACGCACAUUGCGCCCCUUGGUAUUCCAUGGGGCAUGCCUGUUCGAGCGUCAUUUGUACCUUCAAGCUCUGCUUGGUGUUGGGUGUUUGUCUCGCCUCCGCGUGUAGACUCGCCUUAAAACAAUUGGCAGCCGGCGUAUUGAUUUCGGAGCGCAGUACAUCUCGCGCUUUGCACUCAUAACGACGACGUCCAAAAGUACAUUUUUACACUCUUGACCUCGGAUCAGGUAGGGAUACCCGCUGAACUUAAGCAUA